rnacentral:rRNA from 1 species
GUACACUCCUGCGGGAGGCAGCAGUGGGGAAUUUUGGACAAUGGGCGAAAGCCUGAUCCAGCCAUGCCGCGUGCAGGAUGAAGGCCUUCGGGUUGUAAACUGCUUUUGUACGGAACGAAACGGCCUUUUCUAAUAAAGAGGGCUAAUGACGGUACCGUAAGAAUAAGCACCGGCUAACUACGUGCCAGCAGCCGCGGUAAUACGUAGGGUGCAAGCGUUAAUCGGAAUUACUGGGCGUAAAGCGUGCGCAGGCGGUUAUGUAAGACAGUUGUGAAAUCCCCGGGCUCAACCUGGGAACUGCAUCUGUGACUGCAUAGCUAGAGUACGGUAGAGGGGGAUGGAAUUCCGCGUGUAGCAGUGAAAUGCGUAGAUAUGCGGAGGAACACCGAUGGCGAAGGCAAUCCCCUGGACCUGUACUGACGCUCAUGCACGAAAGCGUGGGGAGCAAACAGGAUUAGAAACCCCGGUAGUCCCA